CUUCUCUCUUGAGCUCUUCUCCCUCAAACUCUCACGCGCUCUUUGCGCUCGCUCAUAGAGUUCCGAGUAAACAGACCUCCGUCCCGUUCUCCUCACGGUGAUAUCAGAGAUGGCAAUUAAAGAGAACGACGAAUGCAUAGACUUCACACUCGUUAAUCAGUCGUUGUUCGACUCACACGCGGAUUUUCGAGGCGCUCUCUCACCCUCUGCGCGCGCUGUGACUCUCAUGCCGAGCGCGCGGGACAAGUUUUUUGCUCUCGGAUGGGGCUUUGCUUCGGAGAGUAUCUUACCAGGAUGCUAAGUUGGAAAUUGAGGAUUCUGACGCCUACUAUGAGCCUCUCGCUCCUCCUCUCGGGGUGUAGUCAUCGAAAGAAAGGCAAGCUGGGUUACAGCAGCUCAGCCUGAAUCGACACACACACACACACACACACACACACACACACACUCUCUCUCUCUCUCUCUCUCUCUCUCUCUACAUUCAUACCCUGGUACUCACUAACAAUCUUCCCCGCUAUCCCCCUAUUUUUGUCUCUAACAAGCCUCAAUGCUUUAGAUUGAGCUGCUUCAACCCCUGGAUGGCGGUCUCAUGCGAGCCAGUACAUCAACUUCAACUUUCCUCAUUUUCUAAAUACACGAAGCCUUCAUUUUCACGCAUGAUUAAUAACAAAUGGACUGUUAUCUUCUUGGGGACGGCUGGCCAAAUACGACAGGAGACACUACAAGAUUCGAUAAGCAGCCUGUUUAGCGAUAGUGGAGGGGUGAAUGAAAGAAAGCUUGGAAAGAGAGAUGCAGCAGGGACUAGUCACACUCUACAUGCGCUGCAUGGCAUAAAGGAGCAGAGUGCGCAUUUCCUGAUACGUGCAGACAAAGUGUGGCAGUUUGAAAGCUAUUUAACACUGAUUGGAGCCCUUUCUGCUCUUCGCCAGAGAGAAUACCUCUUCAGGUGCCGGUGUCGAGCAUCUCUGAUACACACUGCGCCUCCUCCAUGCUACGAGACCCUCCCCUGAUCAGUCAAGGUUGACAGAGAAGGCCUUUGUGCGACACUCCAAGGAACAGAUGUCUGCCUGAGAGAGCAGUUCACCUGGAGCCGCGCUGGAUUACCCAUGGCCUCGCUUUGAUGGAUUAGCAUGUAUGGAAAUUGCCCGAUUAUUGAUAUGAAAAUAUUUGCAAACGAGGGGAAACUGGUGAUGUGAGGGGUGAGGGGCGCGAAGACGCUAAGAGAGCUUAUCAGCCUUUCUUCCAACCUUGUCCCUCGCUUCCUACAGAAAGAGGAAAAAAGAAGAGGGUUAGAAAAGACAGAUGAGGGCAUAGGGAGGAGAAAGAGAGGUGCUGUGUGUCAGCGUGGCAGUAUUCAGCUGCCCUUCAUGAAAUAUUGUUCACCAUUAUAUUAACAGAGCUGAGUGGAGAGAGAUAAGAGAGCUUCUGAAAUAGUAAGCAGAAUGUCCUGAGGAGAUAUUUCAAUCUUUAUUCUCUGUCACUCUCUCUCUCUCUUUUUCUCCCUCUCACCCCAUCUUUUUCUUUCAUUUAGGGCAACGGGUGAAUGUGAAAUGUGCCGAGACCUUUAUAAAUGAAGACAGGGCUGGAGAAAUGAUGACAUCAUCAACUCCCACAUAAUUGCUUGAUUUGUCAGUCUGUAAUCUGUAUUUUCGGCAGGGUGGGAAGAGGGGGUGGGGGUUCCCUUCAGGAUCACAAGCUACGCAACCUCUCUUCACUUCCAUUACAUUUUCUUAACUAGCCACAGAGAGAGGGCUGAGGGUUUGCACGCCUGCAAAAAAUUAUAUCGAUCGUAUGCAUAAUUAUACAGCAUGCGUCAAGGCGUACAAAAUUAUAUAACUAAAAUUAUACAUUUGGGAAUGAGAUCAACCAGAGAAAGGCUUACCAUUUCAGUCUGUUUCACCUCUUGGAGAGGUGAUACUAUGACACCAUGCUGUGGUGGAGGGAGAGGAAGAAGAAAGAUUUUCUAAGGAAGACUUGAAAAGAGUUCUUUAAAGCAGUGAAAAACAAAAAAAGUAAAAUGCAACAUUUUCAUGACAAAUAUAUAUAUAUAUAUUGUGUAAAAAAAGUGAUUUAAAUUACUUAACUUUUAUAUUCAGCCAAAAUAUCAAUAAGAUCCUAAAUUACGGAAGGAUUUCCAAACAAGGCAGAGUUGUGUAUACAUGUAUCAUAAGUAAGAAAGGAGGAGGAAGUUCAUCUGCACAUAGGUGUUGUUUAUUAUCAAAAAUAGUUUGGAGAUAAUAAGUGGAUAUCAUCUGCAAACCAAGUGAAGUAUCAUUAUCAAAAAAAGUAUUUUAAUGGUUUGAUUGAUAUUGAUUUACAUAUCAGACUGCAUUUACAUGCAGAUGUCCAAAUGCUGAAUUGCAGAAACAUGUACUUCAGAAGCAGAUUCAAGAUUCAAGAUUUUUAUUCAUCAAAUACACGAUUAUAUAGAGAAUAUAUAACCAGCAGUGAAAUGUGAGUCAGGUCCGCUCCAUGGACAGUGCAAUUAUUAAAGAAUACAACACAGAUGAAAAUAUGCAUAAAUAUAGGUAUGAAAGAAUGAAAUAAAAGUAAACAAUAAAAAUAUAAGAAUAAAAUA
ensembl:lncRNA